GAUGAACGCUGGCGGCGUGCCUAAUACAUGCAAGUCGAGCGAACGGACGAGAAGCUUGCUUUUCUGAUGUUAGCGGCGGACGGGUGAGUAACACGUGGAUAACCUACCUAUAAGACUGGGAUAACUUCGGGAAACCGGAGCUAAUACCGGAUAAUAUUUUGAACCGCAUGGUUCAAAAGUGAAAGACGGUCUUGCUGUCACUUAUAGAUGGAUCCGCGCUGCAUUAGCUAGUUGGUAAGGUAACGGCUUACCAAGGCAACGAUGCAUAGCCGACCUGAGAGGGUGAACGGCCACCCUGGAACUGAGACACGGUCCAGACUCCUACGGGAGGCAGCAGUAGGGAAUCUUCCGCAAUGGGCGAAAGCCUGACGGAGCAACGCCGCGUGAGUGAUGAAGGUCUUCGGAUCGUAAAACUCUGUUAUUAGGGAAGAACAUAUGUGUAAGUAACUGUGCACAUCUUGACGGUACCUAAUCAGAAAGCCACGGCUAACUACGUG
rnacentral:rRNA from 1 species